rnacentral:rRNA from 1 species
UACGGAGGGAGCUAGCGUUGUUCGGAAUUACUGGGCGUAAAGCGCGCGUAGGCGGCUUUGUAAGUUAGAGGUGAAAGCCCAUCGCUCAACGGUGGAACGGCCAUUGAUACUGCAAAACUUGAAUUAUUGGGAAGUAACUAGAAUAUGUAGUGUAGCGGUGAAAUGCUUAGAUAUUACAUGGGAUACCAAUUGCGGAGGCAGGUUACUAUCAAUAUAUUGACGCUGAUGGACGAAAGCGUGGGGAGCGAACAGG